UACGUAGGUGGCAAGCGUUGUCCGGAAUUAUUGGGCGUAAAGCGCGCGCAGGUGGUUUCUUAAGCCUGAUGUGAAAGCCCACGGCUCAACCGUGGAGGGUCAUUGGAAACUGGGGAACUUGAGUGCAGAAGAGGAAAGUGGAAUUCCAAGUGUAGCGGUGAAAUGCGUAGAGAUUUGGAGGAACACCAGUGGCGAAGGCGACUUUCUGGUCUGUAACUGACACUGAGGCGCGAAAGCGUGGGGAGCGAACAGG
rnacentral:rRNA from 1 species